rnacentral:tRNA from 1 species
GAUUAAGACAAUUAAAAUAUUCAUUA